AGUUCUCAUCGGAGCCCAGUCGCGGCCACCAGACAGAACUCCCUCUUAUUGGUUCCUUUGGCCAAUUGAAAUAACAGAACUUAAUCAUAGUUUCCUUAUUCUUACCCCCGGUGCUUCCUUCUCCCCAAGAUUGCAACAUUCGCCCCAACGGACUAUCGGGCGGAAUCUGCGGCUCAUCACCAUUGGCACCUCUGUCUCCCA